UACGUAGGGUGCGAGCGUUGUCCGGAAUUAUUGGGCGUAAAGAGCGCGUAGGCGGUGUGUCACGUCGGCCGUGAAAACCUGCAGCUUAACUGUGGGCGUGCGGUCGAUACGGGCAUCACUGGAGUUCGGCAGGGGAGACUGGAAUUCCUGGUGUAGCGGUGAAAUGCGCAGAUAUCAGGAAGAACACCCGUGGCUAAGGCGGUUCUCUAGUACGGUACUGACGCUGAGACGCGAAAGCGUGGGGAGCGAACAGG
rnacentral:rRNA from 1 species